rnacentral:rRNA from 1 species
AAAUUGAAGAGUUUGAUCAUGGCUCAGAUUGAACGCUGGCGGCAGGCCUAACACAUGCAAGUCGAACGGUAACAGGAAGCAGCUUGCUGCUUCGCUGACGAGUGGCGGACGGGUGAGUAAUGUCUGGGAAACUGCCUGAUGGAGGGGGAUAACUACUGGAAACGGUGGCUAAUACCGCAUAACGUCGCAAGACCAAAGAGGGGGACCUUCGGGCCUCUUGCCAUCAGAUGUGCCCAGAUGGGAUUAGCUUGUUGGUGAGGUAACGGCUCACCAAGGCGACGAUCCCUAGCUGGUCUGAGAGGAUGACCAGCCACACUGGAACUGAGACACGGUCCAGACUCCUACGGGAGGCAGCAGUGGGGAAUAUUGCACAAUGGGCGCA